rnacentral:rRNA from 1 species
GUCAAAUCAUCAUGCCCUUUAUGUCCCGGGCUACACACGUAAUACAAUGGCGCAUUAACAAAGGGAAGCAAUGGCGCGAGCCGGAGCAAAUCCCCAAAAGGCGUCUCAGUUCGGAUUGCAGGCUGAAACCCGCCUGCAUGAAGUUGGAAUCGCUAGUAAUCGCGCAUCAGCAUGGCGCGGUGAAUACGUUCCCGGGCCUU